GAUGAAGAACGUAGUGAAAUGCGAUAAGUAAUGUGGAUUGCAGAAUUCAGUGAAUCAUCGAAUCUUUGAACGCACCUUGCGCCCUUUGGCUAUUCCGAAGGGCAUGCCUGUUUGAGUAUCAUGAACACCUCAACUCUCAUGGCUUGCUGUGAUGAGCUUGGAAUUUGGGGGUCUUGUUGGCUUGUGAGCCAGCUCCUCCUAAAUGAAUUAGCUUGCCGGUGUUUGGUGGCAUCACAGGUGUGAUAACUAUCUACGCUUGUGGUUUCCCAUCAGGUAACCUCCAGUGAUGGAGGUUCGCUGGGGCUCAUAAAUGUCUCUCCUCAGUGAGGACAGAUUUUGACUGUUUGAUCUCAAAUCAGGUAGGACUACCCGCUGAACUUAAGCAUAUCAAUAAGCGGAGGA
rnacentral:misc_RNA from 1 species